rnacentral:rRNA from 1 species
GACAGAGGUGCCAAGCGUUAGGCGGAAUCACUGGGCUUAAAGCGUGUGUAGGCGGGUGCCUAAGUACCUUGUGAAAUCCCCCGGCUCAACCGGGGAACGGCUGGGUAUACUGGGUGCCUUGGGUCAUCUAGGGGCUGCCGGAACAAAUGGUGGAGCGGUGAAAUGCGUAGAUAUCAUUUGGAACGCCAACGGCGAAAGCAGGCAGCUGGGGAUGCACCGACGCUGAGACACGAAAGCCAGGGGAGCGAACGGG